GCUGGGUGUGGUGGCACACACCUGUAAUCCCAGCUACUUGGGAAGCUGAGGCAGGAGAAUCACUUGCACCCAGGUGGUGGAGGUUUCGGUGAGCCAAGAUCACGCCACUGCACUCCAGCCUGGGUGACAGAGCGAGACUCUGUCUCAA
ensembl:misc_RNA Metazoa_SRP Metazoan signal recognition particle RNA